rnacentral:rRNA from 1 species
UGGGGAAUAUUGGACAAUGGGGGCAACCCUGAUCCAGCGAUGCCGCGUGUGCGAAGAAGGCCUGCGGGUUGUAAAGCACUUUGGUUGGGGAAGAAAUACUUGUGUUUAAGAGAUGCAAGGGAUGACGUUACCCAAAGAACAAGCACCGGCUAACUCUGUGCCAGCAGCCGCGGUAAUACAGAGGGUGCGAGCGUUAAUCGGAAUUACUGGGCGUAAAGGGCGCGUAGGCGGCGAUUUAAGUUAGAUGUGAAAUCCCUGGGCUUAACCUAGGACUUGCAUUUAAGACUGACUUGCUAGAGUAAUGUAGAGGGAAGUGGAAUUUCCGGUGUAGCGGUGAAAUGCGUAGAUAUCGGAAAGAACAUCAGUGGCGAAGGCGGCUUCCUGGACAUAUACUGACGCUGAGGCGCGAAAGCAUGGGUAGCAAACAGG